rnacentral:rRNA from 1 species
AUAGCGUAUAUUAAAGUUGUUGCAGUUAAAAAGCUCGUAGUUGAACCUUGGGCCUGGCUGGCCGGUCCGUCUCAUCGCGUGUACUGGUCCGGCUGGGCCUUUCCUUCUGGCUAGGCACAUGCCCUUUACUGGGUGUGUGUCCGAACCAGGACUUUUACUUUGAAAAAAUUAGAGUGUUCAAAGCAGGCAUAUGCUCGAAUACAUUAGCAUGGAAUAAUAAAAUAGGACGUGUGGUUCUAUUUUGUUGGUUUCUAGAGCCGCCGUAAUGAUUAAUAGGGAUAGUCGGGGGCAUCAGUAUUCAAUUGUCAGAGGUGAAAUUCUUGGAUUAAUUGAAGACUAACUACUG